rnacentral:rRNA from 1 species
UACGGGGGGAGCAAGCGUUGUUCGGAUUUACUGGGCGUAAAGGGCGCGUAGGCGGCCACUGCAAGUCAGUUGUGAAAUCUCCGGGCUUAACCCGGAAAGGUCAACUGAUACUGCAGGGCUAGAGUGCAGAAGGGGCAACUGGAAUUCUCGGUGUAGCGGUGAAAUGCGUAGAUAUCGGGAGGAACACCAGUGGCGAAGGCGGCCUUCUGGACGGACACUGACGCUGAGACGCGAAAGCGUGGGUAGCAAACGAG